rnacentral:rRNA from 1 species
UACGUAGGUGGCAAGCGUUAUCCGGAAUUAUUGGGCGUAAAGCGCGCGCAGGCGGUUUCUUAAGUCUGAUGAUGAAAUGCCCACGGACUCAACCGUGGAGGGUCAUUGGGAAACGUGGGGAACUUGAGUGCAGAAGAGAAAAGCGGAAUUCCACGUGUAGGCGGAUGAAAUGCGUAGAGAUGUGGAGGAACACCAGUGGCGAAGGCGGCGUUUUUGGGUCUGGUAACUGACGCUGAGGCGCGAAAGCG